UGUAACGUAUCCCUAAUUGAGCACCCAGGUGGUGUGACACUUCUGCCCUGUCCCUGCCCUCAGAGGAGAUUCUGACAUAUCACUGCCCCAAAAUGCAGCACCUGAGUAAUUUGACUCUCCUGCCUGGACCCAGCGUACAGAUGGGAUUGUGCUUCAUUGCUGGACCCAGCAUUUAGGCCCACUACCUAUGAGAUUGCAUGCUCCUGCCUGGGCUGUGCCCACAGUGACCUUGUGACAUAUAUCUGCAUCCAUGACCUAAAAGAUGUGACACUUCUUGCCUGCAACCUGCCCUGCACAGGAAAGAUUGCGACUUCUCCCUGGAAGCAGACACCAGGUCAUACAGAAUUGCCACCCUCCAAC
rnacentral:lncRNA from 1 species